GCACUAUAGUAUUGCCAGCCUAAUCUCGGGAGUUGAUAAACCUGAAGUCAUAAACAGCGCUGUGCUUCAAGCAUUGCGAAGAGCUGCUGGCAAACGCAGAACAGUGACAUAGAGCCUGAGGAUUCCCCAAUCCCUAAAAUGUCUCCCAAGAGGAAGAUAAAUCUCAUGCAUUAUUCAUAACAAUUCCGUGGCCAAGCCCACAGUCAUUUCAGUUUACACCACAUCAACACCAAGAGUGGAUUGCUUCACAGCGUGCAGGAACCUGUUUGGUCACUGGGUCCCGGAAGCGUAUUGUGGUGUCUAUUGCUGAUUAGCGAACCAAUAAAGACACUUAAA